rnacentral:ncRNA from 1 species
ACCAAGGAGUCUAACAAGAAAGCCACCUGUUGUACAAUAAAGGUGAAGGCCAGCAUUCGCCAGCCAAGGUGGGAUCUCAAGGCCUCAGUCCUUCCUGUCCUGCCGAAGGUGCACCACUGGCUUGUCUCAUUUGCCUCACCUAGUACAUGGAGUGAGCGAGAGAGAGAGAAAGAGAGAGAGAGCGUGCGAGCGCGCCUGAGCAGGGUGAAGCCACAGAAAACUGUUGGAGGUCCAUACUAGUCCUGAAUGCAAAUUGGUUGUUUGACCUAGGCAUGGGGGUGAAAUACCAAUCAAACCAUCUAGUUCUACAAAAAGUUUUUCUCAGGAUAGUUGGCACUCUCACAGCAGUCUGAAAAAAAAAAUUCUUUGAAAUGACUUUAAAAUAUAUCUGACUUUAAAUUGUCCUGUUCUCAAUACUAGAGAUAUUACUAACUAGCCAUAUUAAAUUCUUUUUGAGAUCUAAAGUUUUCCACAUAAUUCUGAAUCAAACCAUACUUAUGACCAUGGAUUAUUGAUUUAGUGUU